rnacentral:tRNA from 4 species
GCCUUGGUGGUGGAACUGGUAGACACAGCAGACUCAAAAUCUGCCGCUGAAAGGCGUGCCGGUUCGAUUCCGGCCCGAGGCACCA